rnacentral:rRNA from 1 species
UACGGGGGGGGCAAGCGUUGUUCGGAAUUACUGGGCGUAAAGGGCUCGUAGGCGGCCAACUAAGUCAGACGUGAAAUCCCUCGGCUUAACCGGGGAACUGCGUCUGAUACUGGAUGGCUUGAGUCCGGGAGAGGGAUGCGGAAUUCCAGGUGUAGCGGUGAAAUGCGUAGAUAUCGGGAGGAACACCUGUGGCGAAGGCGGCCGCCUGGUUGGAUACUGACGCUGAGACGCGAAAGCGUGGGGAGCAAACAGG